UACAGAGGAGCCAAGCGUUGUCCGGAUUUAUUGGGCGUAAAGGGCGCGCAGGUGGUGCGGUAAGGCUGCCGUGAAAUCUCCCGGCUCAACUGGGAGGGUGCGGUGGCGACUGCCGGACUGGAGGCACUCAGAGGCCGGUGGAAUUCCCGGUGUAGCGGUGAAAUGCGCAGAUAUCGGGAGGAACACCGGUGGCGAAGGCGGUUCUCUGGGCCUGUACUGACGCUGAGGAGCGAAAGCGUGGGGAGCGAACAGGAUUGAG
rnacentral:rRNA from 1 species